rnacentral:lncRNA from 1 species
CAGCCUUAAACACCAAUUGGUCCAAGCAAGCUAGAAAGUAAAGCAAAAGCAACCAACAAAAUCAAACAGAAAGAAGGCAAAUUCUUUUGCUUUAUUUGGUUUCCACUUACAUUUCAACAUUAACAAAAUAUAGCAACAUUAAACAUCCCCCCCGCGGGGGAACCCUUUUUUUCAGAGUCACUUAGGAUUACUAACAACUCUGCUAAUUAGAGUUCAAUGAACAGAACCAGGAACAAAAACCACGUGAGCCUAUCCAACUGCAAGUGGAUCAGAUCACAAAAUAUUUUCUAGCCCCCAAGGAACAUAAAAGGAACGAUUUUUAAUUAAUUAAAGGGUAAUUAAAGCUCAUAACAAAAUAAAAGGGGGCAUUUAAAGCUAAUCCAGUUCCAUUGUCUAGGAUGACGAUAGUUAGAAUCUAACCUGGGUUUAAGAUGGGAAGGAUCUGCCAUGAAAACGAAGAAAUUGUUAAUUGGAAACAAAUAUGGGAUUUUAAAAGAGAGAGAGAGAGAGAGAGAGAGAGAGAGAGAGAUUUUGACAGAGAAUAAGAAUUUAUACGUAUAGUUUGGAUUUGAUUGGAAUCACUGAAACUCUGAACUUGUGAAGGGAGAGAGAGAGAAUGGAUCAAGUUCUGUUCAGUUUAAUAGCUUUAGUAAAUGAAUCUAAAUUUUCAUAGCCAGAUAGGGAAAACCAAA